AUGGCUCAGGACGAACGCUGGCGGCGUGCUUAACACAUGCAAGUCGAACGAGGAUUAUGUGAGGGGCUUCGGCCUGGAAGAUGUAAUUCGAGUGGCGGACGGGUGAGUAACGCGUGAACAAGUCUGUCCCGGACAGGGGAAUAACACUUGGAAACAGGUGCUAAUACCGCAUAAGACCACGCCCUCGCAUGGGGGAGGGGUAAAAAGGAGCGAAUCCGGUUCGGGGUGAGUUCGCGUCCGAUUAGAUAGUUGGUGAGGUAACGGCCCACCAAGUCGACGAUCGGUAGCCGACCUGAGAGGGUGAUCGGCCACAUUGGAACUGAGAGACGGUCCAAACUCCUACGGGAGGCAGCAGUGGGGAAUAUUGGGCAAUGGGCGAAAGCCCUGACCCAGCAACGCCGCGUGAGUGAAGAAGGCUUUCGGGUUGUAAAGCUCUGUUAUAGGGGACGAAGGAAGUGACGGUACCCUAUAAGGAAGCCCCGGCUAACUACGUGCCAGCAGCAGC
rnacentral:rRNA from 1 species